rnacentral:lncRNA from 1 species
UAAUUAGUAAUAAAAUAAAGAAAAGAAAAUAUCAUCUUUUCUUCAUCUUCUCUCCACUGAAAAAUGGCAACAAAGAAAGGGUUUAGAAGCUGGAAACUUUCAGCAAAGAAACUCCCUUUAUAGUAAGUGAUUUUAAUGUCUUUGCUUGAUGAUUUUUACAUUUUUGGAACCCCUAAAGCAUGAGCUUUCAUAAGAGGGGAUUAUUUUGCAAAAUGAUGAAGAGUCUAGGGUUUUACCAUGAGAGUAAAUGUGUUGUUUUCUGUCUUUUUAUGGAAGAUUAUGAGUCCUAGUUGUCUAAUAAACAACUUUUGUGAAAGAAAUUGCAUGAAAAUACCUUAAAAAGGGCUAAAUUGCUAAGUUGUAAAAUGAGUUGUAAAUGUGUAAAAUAGUUGAAAUUAUGAGUUGCUGUAGUUAUGAAAAUGGUUCAUCUAGACUCAAGGAGUAAAUAAAUGUGAUAAAAAUUAAUUUACGAGCAUUGGGGCAAAAGUGUAAAUAUGCAAAAGUUUAGGGGUCAAAAUGAAAAUUUUUAAAAAUAUGAUUUUUAUACCCAUAUGAAUAUUGUGACUGAUUGUUAGGCUAAAUUGAUGUUAUAGAUGAUGAAAAUUGAGAUUUGGACCUAGAACGGAAAGAAAUCGAUUUAUGGACGAGUAUGUCUUUUCACCUUUAUGGUAUAUAGGUAAGUUCGUAUGUAAACAAUACCAUGCUAUACAUGUAUUUAAAUGUUAUCAUUACAUGAAUUGUACAUAUAUUAAUGUGUAUGUGAUUAAUAGAAAUAUGAUAAGACAAAGCCUUAAUAGGCAAGGAAAAAUCCUGUUUGAACCUUAGGAAUAAAUUAGGAUACGAGUGACAUGUCACUAGGAAUUAUGAGUCUAGAUGACUAGCUCGAUAGUGAGCAUUGAAAUGCCAUGAGAUGUGAGAUAGCUUUAGCUACAAUUGAGGCACUUAUGUGCAAAGGCUUUUUCGAGUAUCCAAUUAGUAUUCCAAGUGUUCAACGGGCAAUCCAAGGAAAGAGUUGAUGAUGGUCCCAAUGAGGUAAGUCAUUGGUGAGUAUGCACUCGAGUUAUGUUACGAGUUGUGCAAGUAUGUAUACUAAGCCUAUGAGAAUGCCUUGAUAUGUGAUGAUCUAUGAUACAUAAUAUGUGUUCUUACCAUGAUGGAUAAAAUGGUGUUGUAUUAAUAUUAUGAACAAUGACCAUGAAUGAGUAACUUAGCCUUGACAGAUUUGAGUUACUGCAGUAGUGUAACUUUGAAAAUACACUAAAAAUAUUGGAAAAUGACUUAGAGGCAGAAUAAAAUAUGGGAUUAAAGCUUAAUGAGUCUAUUUUCACAUGAAAGAAAUAGAGGAAGAAAAAUAAUUCUAUAUUGUGUGAUAUUUAAAUUCUCGUGAAAUAGGGUUUGAAUGAAUUUGAGAUCCCCUAUUCUGAUUUUAUAAAUUCAUCUUAAAUUGUAAAAAAAUUAUUAAGAGUCAUACCUUACAUGCAUGGAUUCCUUAUUGAGUCUAUCUUUAAGGGAAAAAAACGGCAUGAUCAUUGGAAUUAUGUACAGGGAGAAAUUCGGUUCGAAGUGCAUAGGGGUCAGAGUAGUCAUACCCUGAAACAUGGGAAACUUUAACUAAUAAACUGUACUAAAUGGUUUGACCAAAAAUUCUAGAAAAAAAUUAGUAAGUAUACAUAUGAGUCUAGUUUCAAGAGAAAUAGACGAGAACAUUAUUCGAGUCCUGUACUAUGAGAUAAUUGAACUUUAGUGCAGAAGGGUUGAAACUGUCAGACAGUGAAUCAGGAGCAAACUUGAGGAAUAAACUGUACUAAUUGGCUAAGUCAAAAAUUCUGGAAAUUUUAUGGAAGAAAGAUAAAUGAUUCUAGUUUUAGGAAAAAUUAACAGAACUUAAUUUGGAGUUUCGUAGCUCCAGAUAUAAAUAAUUUAGUGACUGCUGCUCAGGAAGACAGUUUGUAGUGAACUUGAGAAUAUGUUGUAAACAUUGAUAAAACAAGUUAAUGAGUCCCGAACCACCCCGAAUGCAUGUAUUGGGCCUCGUAAGCUCGCAUAAGGGACAGAUUACAUGUGAAAAGAAAAGUUUUUAAUUAUUUGAGAUUUCAUGGCCUUGUUUAGUAUGGAAGUGUUAGUAAAAGUCAGGUAGCACCUCGAACCGCGUCCCGACGUCGGAUGCGGGCGAGGGGUGUUACAGUAAAGUUCUAGUAUAAGAUGAUAUGAAUUCAAGAUUAAUGACUAUGAGAAAUACUUGAUAUACAAUGAUGUGAAAUGUACAUGUUCAUUGGAAACUUAAAGUGAUAAAUACACGUACGUGGAAAUAGAAUAUUGAUGAGCUCAUCCAUAUUUCUUAGUAUUUAUGUGAAUUACAUCACUAACAUGUUUGAUGAGGAUGUAUGUGUGUUUAGUUAUUGAUUACAUUGAUUUGGAUGUACUAUGUAUGUUUACUUUAAACAAAUACAAUUGGUAAGUUAAAUUCUUGUUAUACGAACUUACUAAGCAUUAAAUGCUUACUUCGUUUUCUUUCCUCUGUUUUAUAGUACUCGGAAGCUCAUAAAGGUUGGAAGCGGGUCAUAGCAAAAUCACACUAUCCUUCAGCUCAUUUUGGUAUAAUUAGUAAAAUUACCUUUGGUAUAAUGGCAUGUAUACACUAAGUUAAGCCAAAUGAUGAUAUGCUUUGGUUGUAAUUAGCCAUUGGAAUGGCUAGUGAUGGUACGUUUGAUGUAUAUAUGCAUGAGGUUGUAUUAUGUUUGGUAUGUGAGUGUGCUUAGAUUGGUAUUUUAGCUAUAAACAUACUUAAGUAAGUAAAUGAUCAAUUGAGUAAGUUGGAAGUUUGAAUAAAUGUCAUGAUAUAUCAUGUAUAAGACUUAGUUUGGCUUGAUUUGAAAGUUAUUAAUUGGCUUGUGAAUGUGCUUAAACGUUA